UGGUGGAGCGAUUUGUCUGGUUAAUUCUGAUAACGAACGAGACUCUAGCCUAUUAAAUAGUUCGCCGUUCACGUUACGUCGGCGUCAACUUCUUAGAGGGACAAGUGGCGUUUAGCCACGCGAGAUUGAGCAAUAACA
rnacentral:rRNA from 1 species